AUUCUUCUCCCUCCGUUGCACAAUACAUGCCUUCUAUUUGUCAAAAUAUAUAUGUAUCUAGACAUGUCUUAGUAUAUAGGUACAUCCAUUUUUGGACAAAUGGAAGUCAAGUAUUUUGGAACGGAGGGAGUACACA
rnacentral:pre_miRNA from 1 species